GAUCAAGUGUCUUAAGGGCAAUUGGUGGAUGCCUUGGCAUGCACAGGCGAUGAAGGACGUGAUACGCUGCGAUAAGCUACGGGGAGGUGCGAAUACCCUUUGAUCCGUAGAUUUCCGAAUGGGGAAACCCACCUAAGGUGCUUGGAAAAUCAGAGCAGCCAGUGGUCGACAAGGCCAACUUGCUGCUGUGGUUUCCAAGUGUCUGUAAUAGGUAACUUAUCCUGAAUACAUAGGGAUAAAGUGGCGAACGCGGGGAACUGAAACAUCUAAGUACCCGUAGGAAAGGACAUCAACCGAGACUCCGGCAGUAGUGGCGAGCGAACCCGGACCAGGCCAGUGGCGAUGAUGAGACAAGCGGAACCUUCUGGAAAGUAGGGCCAUAGUGGGUGACAGCCCCGUACGCGUAAUGCAAAUCAUCGUCCUCGAGUAAGGCGGGACACGUGAAAUCCUGUCUGAAAUUGGGGGGACCACCCUCCAAGCCUAAGUACUCGUGCAUGACCGAUAGCGAACUAGUACCGUGAGGGAAAGGUGAAAAGCACCCCGACAAGGGGAGUGAAAGAGUACCUGAAACCGAUUGCCUACAAACAGUGGGAGUCCAAGGUUCGUCCUGGGUGACCACGUACCUUUUGUAUAAUGGGUCAGCGACUUAGUGUGACGAGCAAGCUUAAACCGGUAGGUGUAGGCGCAGCGAAAGCGAGUCUGAACAGGGCGUUCAGUUCGUCGCAUUAGACCCGAAACCGAGUGAUCUAGCCAUGAGCAGGUUGAAGGUAAGGUAACACUUACUGGAGGACCGAACCCAUAACUGUUGCAAUAGUUCGGGAUGACUUGUGGCUAGGGGUGAAAGGCCAAUCAAACUCGGAAAUAGCUGGUUCUCCGCGAAAUCUAUUUAGGUAGAGCGUCGACCGAAUACCCCAGGGGGUAGAGCACUGGAUGGGCUAGGGGUCCUCACCGGAUUACCAAACCUAACCAAACUCCGAAUACCUGGGAGUACUAGUCGGCAGACACACGGCGGGUGCUAACGUCCGUCGUGAAAAGGGAAACAACCCUGACCUACAGCUAAGGUCCCCAAGUUAUGGCUAAGUGGGAAAGGAUGUGAGGAUCCCAAAACAACCAGGAUGUUGGCUUAGAAGCAGCCAUCAUUUAAAGAAAGCGUAACAGCUCACUGGUCUAAAUAAGGGUCUUUGCGCCGAAAAUGUAACGGGGCUCAAGCCAUACACCGAAGCUUAGGGUUCGUGAGCAAUCACGAGCGGUAGCGGAGCGUUCUGUAAGCUGAUGAAGCCAUACCCGUGAGGGGUGGUGGAGGUAUCAGAAGUGCGAAUGCUGACAUGAGUAACGUAAGGGGAGUGAGAGACUCCCCCGCCGAAAGUCCAAGGGUUCCUGCUUAAAGCUAAUCUGAGCAGGGUUAGCCGGCCCCUAAGUCGAGGCAGAAAUGCGUAGACGAUGGGAACCACGUUAAUAUUCGUGGGCCUGGAGGAAGUGACGGAUCAUUGAGGUAGUCCAAUCUUAUCGGAUUGAACGGGCUGCUGCGUGGUUCCAGGAAAUAGCUCCUCCUUAUAGACCGUACCCGAAACCGACACUGGUGGACUGGUAGAGUAUACCAAGGCGCUUGAGAGAACUAUGCUGAAGGAACUCGGCAAAUUGCACGCGUAACUUCGGAAGAAGCGUGACCCUUUUCCACGCAAGUGGAGGAGGGUGGCACAGACCAGGGGGUAGCGACUGUUUAUCAAAAACACAGGGCUCUGCGAAGUCGCAAGACGACGUAUAGGGUCUGACGCCUGCCCGGUGCUGGAAGGUUAAGAGGAGGGGUGCAAGCUCUGAAUCGAAGCCCCAGUAAACGGCGGCCGUAACUAUAACGGUCCUAAGGUAGCGAAAUUCCUUGUCGGGUAAGUUCCGACCUGCACGAAUGGCGUAACGACUUCCCCGCUGUCUCCAGCAUAGACUCAGUGAAAUUGAAUUCCCCGUGAAGAUGCGGGGUUCCUGCGGUUAGACGGAAAGACCCCGUGCACCUUUACUAUAGCUUUACAUUGGCAUUCGUAGUGGCAUGUGUAGGAUAGGUGGUAGGCUUUGAAACCUGGGCGCCAGCUCAGGUGGAGCCACCCUUGAAAUACCACCCUUAUCACUAUGGAUGUCUAACCGCGGCCCGUCAUCCGGGUCCGGGACAAUGUAUGGUGGGUAGUUUGACUGGGGCGGUCGCCUCCUAAAGAGUAACGGAGGCGCGCGAUGGUGGGCUCAGAACGGUCGGAAAUCGUUCGCUGAGUGCAAUGGCAUAAGCCUGCCUGACUGCGAGACUGACAAGUCGAGCAGAGACGAAAGUCGGUCAUAGUGAUCCGGUGGUCCCGCGUGGAAGGGCCAUCGCUCAACGGAUAAAAGGUACGCCGGGGAUAACAGGCUGAUGACCCCCAAGAGUCCAUAUCGACGGGGUUGUUUGGCACCUCGAUGUCGACUCAUCGCAUCCUGGGGCUGGAGCAGGUCCCAAGGGUAUGGCUGUUCGCCAUUUAAAGCGGUACGUGAGUUGGGUUCAGAACGUCGUGAGACAGUUCGGUCCCUAUCUGCCGUGGGUGUAGGAAUAUUGAAAGGAUCUGUCCCUAGUACGAGAGGACCGGGAUGGACGGAUCUCUGGUGGACCUGUUGUGGCGCCAGCCGCAUAGCAGGGUAGCUAUAUCCGGACGGGAUAACCGCUGAAGGCAUCUAAGCGGGAAACCCACCUUAAAACGAGUAUUCCCUGAGAACCGUGGAAGACGACCACGUUGAUAGGCCGGGUGUGGAAGAGCGGCAACGCUUGAAGCUUACCGGUACUAAUAGUUCGAUCGGCUUGAUCGUUCUCAUU
rnacentral:rRNA from 1 species